UCCAGACUCCUACGGGAGGCAGCAGUGGGGAAUAUUGCACAAUGGGGGAAACCCUGAUGCAGCGACGCCGCGUGAGUGAAGAAGUAUUUCGGUACGUAAAGCUCUAUCAGCAGGGAAGAAAAAAAGUCCUUUGGACUUUGGACGGUACCUGACCAAGAAGCCCCGGCUAACUACGUGCCAGCAGCCGCGGUAAUACGUAGGGGGCAAGCGUUAUCCGGAUUUACUGGGUGUAAAGGGAGCGUAGACGGCAGCGCAAGUCUGGAGUGAAAUGCCGGGGCCCAACCCCGGAACUGCUUUGGAAACUGUGCAGCUGGAGUGCAGGAGAGGUAAGCGGAAUUCCUAGUGUAGCGGUGAAAUGCGUAGAUAUUAGGAGGAACACCAGUGGCGAAGGCGGUCUGCUGGGCUCUAACUGACGCUGAGGCUCGAAAGCGUGGGUAGCAAACAGGAUUAGAUACCCCUGUACC
rnacentral:rRNA from 1 species